GAGCAGUUCUCAGAUUCCGCCCUGAGGAGGCUAUGUUCCCCUCUCAUUGCGAAGGUCACACGGCCAACUCCUUCUGUCAACUCAUAUGGAGCUAUUUAAUUCGGGAGGGUGGGGGAGGGAGUUAGUGACAUUUUGCUUUUAAGGAAACAGUUUACAUAAUUUAAUUCACAGAUUUUUUUGGUGGGCAGAAAGGGAGCAUAUUAGACUAUCCAAUUAAUCCACAUCAAAAAUAAGCCUUUCAGAGAUUAACAAAAUCAGACAAAAGCUACAUCUUUGUGUUGUUGCAGAUUCUAUACAUUUAAAUAUUCUCUUGCAUAAUUGUGGUCCAAAAAUUUGACAAAUUAUUUUAUUGGAGUACAUAUCACCAUACCAACGGGCAGUAGUGUGGAUACUUUUCCUCUUUCAAUUGAAAUGAAUUUGUUUGAAUUUUUAUCCACAAUGUGAUCAAUAUUUCUGUGAUCUAGCUGUCAGGUUCAUAUUAUUCUCAUAGAAAUAUUAAAAGCUUAAAAGUUUCUUUUCCAUAACUCGAAAUGCAAGGUUAUUCUAAUAUUUUCUCCAUUCCUACAGUUUUCUCACCCUGAGUGAUGACUGUGAGAGCCGCAAAACGUUCCUAUAUCCACUACGUGUUUCUUUUUUUCUUUUUAGGGUCCAGGUUCUAUUUUUCUCAGCCUAUUCUGGGAUCUGGACAUGUGAAAGAACAAAACAUAUGACACAUCAAUUAAAACAUCACUCGGUUUUCACAGUGGUUUUUAUGGCUGGACUGUGGCAAAUCAAAAAACAAACUGGCAUUUGGAAGGGCAAUAACUUUCCUUGAAGAUAGGAGACAUCUACCGUUGACCUAUUAUUUCAGACUUACUUCUGGUUCUCCACGUCUUCCAAGGGAACGAAUGAAGACGGUCACCCACCUUCAGUCUCGCAGCAGCAAGAAAGCAACAGAAGCCUUCUCUCCGGGAAUUAGUAUAGGAAACCUGUUUGCUUUUAAAGUUCCAAGUCCUCCUGUAGAGAUGAAAGGGGAAUUAAAGCAAGUUACCCCUGUGGAAUCACCAAAGUAAAAAUGGGUUGCUUUAUCUGGCUCUUCAGAACUCUUUCAGACUUGAAGGUCUGGCUUGAAAUCCGUAUAAUACGUUCAUUCACUAAGUCAAGAUUAAUCGUGUUGGUGCUGUGUCCUCGGGGGUGGGCCUCCAGGAGGCAU
rnacentral:lncRNA from 13 species